UGGAAAAUGUAACGGGGCUCAAGUAUAGUACCGAAGAUAUGGAUUGUAGUUUACUACAGUGGUAGAGGAGCGUUCCUCUCAGCGGUGAAGUCGGAUUGCGAGAUCCGGUGGAGCGUGAGGAAGUGAGAAUGUUGGAAUGAGUAACCAUAAGGCAGGUGAGAAUCCUGCCCGCCGAAAGAGCAAGGUUUCCUGGGCCACGGUAAUCGUCCCAGGGUUAGUCGGUCCUAAGCCGAGGCGCGUAGCGUAGGCGAUGGACAACAGGUUAAUAUUCCUGUACUGGCACACAUUUGUUAUAUGUGCGCGGCAUAGUAGUAGAAGCGGAUUCAUGGUUAUAUCCGUCUAAGUAGGAGAAACGCCUACAAAUGAAACGACCAUCAGGUUGAAUUUCUGCAAAAGUGCUGACUAGAAAAGCAAUAUAACGCGUGGUGUGAGCCACCCGUACCGCAAACCGACACAGGUGCUCAGGUCGAGAAGACCAAGGCGUACGAGUGAUUCUUCGUUAAGGAACUCGGCAAACAAGCGACCGUAACUUCGGGAUAAGGUCUGCCUCGCCACAUUGUCUAUGACGAAUAGAUAUGUGGGAAUGGCCCUGUUUCUAGUUGAAAAAGAAACCAGGUGUAGCCACCGACACGUCUGUCGUAGACAGCGUGGCGAGGCCGCAGCUAAGGAACCCAUGCAACUGUUUACCAAAAACAUAGGUCUGUGCUAACACGAAAGUGGAUGUAUACGGGCUGACGCCUGCCCAGUGCUGGAAGGUUAAGGGGAGUUGUGUAUGCAGCGAACUGAAGCCCCAGUGAACGGCGGCGGUAACUAUAACCGUCCUAAGGUAGCGAAAUUCCUUGUCAGGUAAGUUCUGACCCGCACGAAUGGCGUAAUGAUAUGGGUACUGUCUCAACGAAGAGCUCGGUGAAAGUGCAUUGACGGUAAAGAUGCCGUCUGUCCGCAGCAGGACGAAAAGACCCCGUGCAGCUUUACUACAGCUUGGCAUUGAGCCGGGUUAUAACAUGUGUAG
rnacentral:rRNA from 1 species